rnacentral:rRNA from 1 species
GUGGAUUAGAUACCCUGGUAGUCCACGCCGUAAACGAUGAGUGCUAGGUGUUAGGGGGGAGCACCCCUUAGUGCUGAAGUCAACACAUUAAGCACUCCGCCUGGGGAGUACGACCGCAAGGUUGAAACUCAAAGGAAUUGACGGGGGCCCGCACAAGCAGUGGAGCAUGUGGUUUAAUUCGAAGCAACGCGAAGAACCUUACCAGGUCUUGACAUCCCUCUGACGGGUUCAGAGAUGGACCGUUCCUUCGGGACAGAGGAGACAGGUGGUGCACGGCCGUCGCCAGCU